ensembl:lncRNA
AGAUCCCAGGUGGCUUAGUGGCUCAGAAACCUUAAAGUGGGCUCUUAGAGAACUUCUAGUCCUAAUGUAUUUUUUAACAGAUAUGAAAACCUAAGCUUUAGUGGCAGAAGUUUGCCUGUUAAAGUAUAAUUUUUAAAAAGCUAGAAUCAUGUUUCUCACAUAUACAUACAGAUUUUUUAAAAUAUGAAUUUAUUUAUUUUUAUUGGAGGCUAGGACAGUGAAGAAGGCUGAGUGCCAAAGAAUUGAUGCAUUUGAACUGUGGUGUUGGAGAAGACUCUUGAGGGCCCCUUGGACUGCAAGGAGAUCCAACCAGUCCAUUCUGAAGAAGAUCAACCCUGGGAUUUCUUUGGAAGGAAUGAUGCUAAAGCGGAAGCUCCAGUACUUUGGACACCUCAGGCGAAGAGUUGACUCAUUGGAAAAGACUCUGAUGCUGGGAGAGAUUGGGGGCAGGAGGAGAAGGGGACGACCCAGGAUGAGAUGGCUGGAUGGCAUCACGGACUCGAUGGACGUGAGUCUGAGUGAACUCCGGGAGAUGGUGAUGGACAGGGAGGCCUGGCGUGCUGUGAUUCAUGGGGUCGCAAAGAGUCAGACAUGACUGAGCGACUGAACUGAACUGAAUUGAACAUAUAGAUGUUAAAAGAAUAGGUUUCAAAGAUUUUAUUGAGCUCAAGAUCAGUCCUGGGUGUUCUUGGAAGGAAUGAUGCUAAAGCUGAAACUCCAGUACUUUGGCCACCUCAUGCGAAGAGUUGACUCAUUGGAAAAGACCCUGGUGCUGGGAGGGAUUGGGGGCAGGAGGAGAAGGGGAUGACAGAGGAUGAGCUGGCUGGAUGGCAUCACCGACUUGAUGGACAUGAGUUUGAGUGAACUCCGGGAGUUGGUGAUGGACAGGGAGGCCUGGCGUGCUGCAAUUCAUGGGGUCACAAACAGUUGGACACGACUGAGCAACUGAACUGAACGGAACUGAACUGAUUAAUUAAUGAGGGAAGCAGUAGGAUUUAAAACUGGCCUCAAAAACAUCUGAGAAACUAGGUGGACUCCAGUCCAUGAGGUCACAACAAGUUGGCCAUGACUGGAUGACAAACCACAUCCCAUCCAGAAAGACCCAGAUGCACAAGAGCCAAAUUGUGAAAGGAAGAAAGGACUGCUUAGGAAAUGGUAUAUUCCCUACACUGGUCUGCCUGGCUCAUCCACUCACUUAGGGUGCUGUUUAUGAAACACUGACCUGCGAGGACUUCCCAGAUGGUGCUAGUGGUAAAGAACCUGUCUGCAAGUGCAGGAGAUGCAAGAGACUUGGGUUAGAUCCCUGGGUCUGGAAGAUCCCCAGAGAAAUGACAACUCCCUCCAGUAUUCUUGCCUGGAGAAUCCCAUGGAAAGAGGAGCCCGGUGGGCUACAGUCCAUGGGUCACGGGGAGUGGGACAUGACAGAAUCGACUUACCACUGACCUAUGAAGAAGCCCAGACUGAUUCCUUGUCCCCAUAUUUCCCAAACUCAAGGUGUGAUCUCAAUCCUCUCUUUUCCUCCAGUGCCUUACAGGAGUCCUUAAUCACCAUGUCUCACCCACCACACACACUGAGUCCUCAAGGACAGGCAAGACAGUCCUUGACUGUCUCUAGGCUCCUUUUCUGCAUAUUCUUUAUUGGAGCCUUCACUAUAUGUGUUUCAGUGAGGCUCAAUGACAUCUUAGUGGAGAUAUCAACUAAAGAGAUUUAAGACUGAAGGUACUCGCUUGCCAUAGAUAUCCAUUAAUGUCCUUCUGCUUCUUAAAUUCAAGUAUUCUGUAAUAGUGUAUUUCCCAAAAUGGGAGUGAGAACUUGCAUAUAGAACCAGGCCUCAGGUGGAUUUGCAAAGCUUGUGUUAAUUUUUUGGCUUUAAGAAAACUCUAAUUUAUUGUCUCUUCAUUAGAGAGAAUGCUCAUGUCCUUCAUUUUGGGAAGGCUCUGGGGAUAAGUGAGUUACUAUUUACCAAAAGAUUUGGGAGCCUGAGACAAGUAACACCAAGCUGCUUACCAGCAAUGACAAGGCAUCUGCGUAACUAUCCAUCCUUUUGCUCCUGCAAGAUCUUUGUGGGUGGCAGAGCUUGGAAUAAUUUCUUUACCAGAGUUCAUCAGACUUCUCAGUGUCUCUUUAAGAUUGUCUUUUUGAAAAUUACUUUGUUUGUCUAAAAUGGAAUUCAGGUAGAUAAGGAAUGAAAAUUGUGCAGGGGUAGCUAUUAACCAUUCAAAGGAUAACAUGAUGGGAAUGAAUCAUCUACCCGAAGGCCCUGAUUUUUAGGCUU